rnacentral:rRNA from 1 species
UACGUAGGGGGCAAGCGUUGUCCGGAAUCAUUGGGCGUAAAGAGCGUGUAGGCGGCUCGGUAAGUCCGCUGUGAAAGUCCAGGGCUCAACCCUGGAAUGCCGGUGGAAACUGUCGAGCUAGAGUCCGGAAGAGGCGAGUGGAAUUCCUGGUGUAGCGGUGAAAUGCGCAGAGUAUCAGGAGGAACACCAAUGGCGAAGGCAGCUCGCUGGGACGGUACUGACGCUGAGACGCGAAAGCGUGGGGAGCAAACAGG